rnacentral:rRNA from 1 species
AAUUGAAGAGUUUGAUCAUGGCUCAGAUUGAACGCUGGCGGUAGGCUUAACACAUGCAAGUCGAGCGGAAACGAAGAAUAGCUUGCUAUUCUGGCGUCGAGCGGCGGACGGGUGAGUAAUGCUUGGGAAUCUGCCUAGUCGAGGGGGACAACAGUUGGAAACGACUGCUAAUACCGCAUACGACCUACGGGUGAAAGGGGCCUCUUCUUGAAAGCUCUCGCGACUAGAUGAGCCAAGUGGGAUUAGCUUGUUGGUGAGGUAAGAGCUCACCAACGCGACGAUCCCUAGCUGGUCUGAGAGGAUGAUCAGC